rnacentral:snRNA from 1 species
AACAGCCUGCCCACCCUG